UUAACACAAUUGGGAUUCACGCUCUCCAUUUAAAAUUACUCAAGCAACCCUAUUAUAUCUUCUUCAAAACCUUCGAAUCAAGGAUGGGGAUUGCAUUUUCUUUGAUGAUGAGUGAUGACGGCUCAUGUAAUUACCGCGGUGGAUGCUACAGAGUAGGAAUACGAGAAGCCCGCACAAAGUAUAUGAAUUCGAUGAAAACAAGGUUGUUUCAAGGGGUGAAUAUGCAUGAUCUUGAAGAGAAUGAUACUAAAGAUCUUACGAAUACCAAAUUGCAUCAUUUUGAAAAAAAAUAAAUGUAUAUCCUCGUUGCUAUUAUAAUCAUCACAUGUAUUGUCUUGAUUAAGUAUAUUAACUUGUAAUAUUGAUUAUACGAUGAAGUUGUUACAUUCCCCCUAAGAACACCUAUGAUUGUACGUUAGAUUUUGUAUUAGUAGUUAUUUGAAGUAAUUGCAUACUCUAUGUUGUAUGAAACGACUCUUGUUGGUAUCGCUAGUAAGUUUAUUUUCCGCCUUCGUUUC